CGAAGAAGUGGAGCAGCUAAAGUCUGCGUCAGAAGAGGUUGGGGACUGCGAGAGGAGAGGCUGGGGCCUGCAGGGGAGCGCAGCAGCUUUUAGCAUCGAUCCAAACUCUAAAGACUCGUGGCCUUUGCCUGACCUCGAGGGUCGGGAAUAGACGCCUGUCUUUGUGGAGAGCGAUACCCAACCGAGAAAAUGGGGCUGUUCCGAGCUGGGCCCUGCGCCUGGCCCAGGGCGAGGCUUCUCUGGCUCCGGGCUGGCCCCUGAGGGGCGCAAACGGCAGGCCUGGCGGUUGGGGCCGAGGAGGGAGGGUACCACCGCCCCGAGGCAGCACGCAGCCUGCAGCAGAGGCGCCUGCUCCAAGCUGUCUCUUGGGGGCGCCGCCGCCGCUUCCCUCCUCCGGGGCCGCUCGCUCCCAGGAAAGUGGAGGCGGCUGGCGAGGACCGAGAGCCGGGGCCGCGCUGCGGAGGGACCACACCUCCGGGAGUUCGAGGGGGACCCUGGCGCGGCGGGCCAGCCUUUGCUCCCCGGCCACGGGCCGGCA
rnacentral:lncRNA from 1 species